AUCUACAGCUGAUGUGAUUAAAGUUCUGCAGUUCAGAUCCGCUGAUAAAUGGUCCCAUACCGUAUCCACAGCGUCCUCAUGGUGCAGGCGGUCAAACCUCCACCUCUUUGAAGAGACCAAGCAGCUUGAUGACUGACUGGUUCUUUAUACUCAAGACCUCGUCCCGGAGCAGAGGACGGACCUAAGGCCCGCAGCGCAGCAGACUAGAGACUCCAUGUGGAACCGGUUCAAUUAAGUUGACCUCUCCUUCAGGAGACUUAAAGGGAGACCAGAUGUGCGGCAGCUGGGUGUCAUGGUGCAGAGACCCAACGCUGUACUGAACUACACCAGUGUGUCCUACUCCCAUAAACCCUGAGGAUCCCUGGAUGGCUACACCAGCACAUUAAUCCACACCCAACAUCAACACACAGUGCACACUCCAGAGCUCGUAAGUCCGCCCCUUGCGGCGGGACCUCGUGAGAUAGUAAGAUAUGACUGGGUUUCAAUGGAGAGAAAGUAAUUAUUUUCUCCAUUUUAUGUUGCACCACAUUUUGGGGGAAGAAUGUUUGAAUCAAUCUUUGUCAUUUAUUUCUGUACUCCAUAUCUGUAAUCCCAGCUGUUGUAUUUUAACACGGUAGCUGGGAACCCUCUUUAUAGGGAGCGACUAGAGGGACGAGGCUGGAAGCAAACCUGAGCCUGGAUCUUAACUUUCUUUCUAAACCUAAUGCCGCAAUUUAACCGCAAAUAAAGUGAGGCCUAAAGUAACUUGACUCUCUUACCUAAACUUGCUUGCCUAAACUCCCUUGUCUAAACUCGCUUGCAUAAAACCUAAACUCGCUUGCAUAAAACCUGAACUUGCUUGGCUAAACUCGCGUCGCUUGCCUAAUACCUGAACUUGCUUGCCUAAACUCGCUUGCCUAAUACCUGAACUCGCUUGCCUAAACUCGCUUGCCUAAACUCGCUUGCCUAAUACCUAAACUCGCUUAGCUUGACUCGCUUGCCUGUACUCGCUUGGCUAAACUCGCUUGCAUAAAACCAAAACUCGCUUGCAUAAAACCUAAACUCGCUUAGCUUGACUCGCUUGCCUGUACUCGCUUGGCUAAACUCGCUUGCCUAAUACCUGAAGUCGCUUGCCUAAUACCUGAAGUCGCUUGCCUAAAACCUAAACUUGCUUGUCCAAACACGUUACACAAAGUUAACCAUCCAUAAUCUUUAACCCAAACCAGACUUGUCCCUGGGUCGCUCCACUUUAAUUUAGAAGUUUCUUCUUUUACCUCAUCUGCGUUUUGAGUUUCAUUCUUUGAGGGCUUGAAGUGCUUUGGAGGAUAUUUGAACCUUUGUUUGCCGCAUCAAUAAACAUGCUUUAUCUUUA